rnacentral:misc_RNA from 1 species
UCUCCGUAGGUGAACCUGCGGAGGGAUCAUUACCGAGUGAGGGGGUCCUCGCGCCCCCGACCUCCCAACCCUUUGUUUCAACCAACUCUGUUGCCUCGGGGGGCGACCCGGCCCUUCUGGGCGACGGGGCCCCCGGUGGUCCAUCUCAACCCUGCAUCUGUGCGUCUGAGUAAAUAUUUGAAUCAAUCAAAACUUUCAACAACGGAUCUCUUGGUUCUGGCAUCGAUGAAGAACGCAGC